AGUGAACGCUGGCGGUAGGCCUAACACAUGCCAGUCGAACGGCAGCACAGUAAGAGCUUGCUCUUACGGGUGGCGAGUGGCGGACGGGUGAGGAAUACAUCGGAAUCUACUUUUUCGUGGGGGAUAACGUAGGGAAACUUACGCUAAUACCGCAUACGACCUACGGGUGAAAGCAGGGGAUCUUCGGACCUUGCGCGAUCGAAUGAGCCGAUGUCGGAUUAGCUAGUUGGCGGGGUAAAGGCCCACCAUGGCGACGAUCCGUAGCUGGUCUGAGAGGAUGAUCAGCCAAAUUGGAACUGAUGCUCGGUCCAUACUCCUACGGGAGGCAGCAGUGGGGAAUAUUGGACAAUGGGCGCAAGCCUCAUCCAGCCAGACCGCGUGAGUGAAGAAGGCCUUCGGGUUGUAAAGCCCUUUUGUUGAGAAAGAAAAGCAGCAGGGUAAUACCCCGCUGUUCUGACGGUACCCAAAUAAUAAGCACCGGCUAACUUCGUG
rnacentral:rRNA from 1 species